AACAUCUUAGCUGGCUGAAUAGACAAAGAAAAGUUGAAAAGAAUAAAAUGCGAGAACUAUCCCGUAUUUUAAGACAAAUUUAAGUGCAAUUUCUAUUAACAAACACUAGAUGGCACUGUUCUCAUUACUUACAUAGAUGUUUAAAAAGAAGGGAAAAAAAGUCGCAGCUGUGCUUCCGUUUGCAAACGAUUCUUCCGGUCAGAAGUCACAGCUAAUACAAUAAAAAAUAUUUUAGACGCUAUGGAGACAAUUAUAGGAAACUCUGUAACUGCAACAAAGGACUGGGAACAAAAGAAUCUGUGGGCUAAACCUGCUAAUAACGACCUUAAGCUUUUUCCAACUGGACAUGGAGGUCCAGCUCUGACAGCAGAGUCAGCCGGCAGAGGAACGCCAGCCCCCCAUCGGUCACAGUGUGGCGUCCAGGAAGCGUGAGCUGCAAGGUCCUGAGAAGGAAAAAGUUUCCACUGGAUAAAUAGUGGAAACAGGAAGUAAGCGGGAAAAGGGAGUAAGAGGAACGUAGGUCAAAGGGAGGAAUGAAUCAUCUGAAG